GGAAGAAUCUUUGCUGUUAUGAGUCACUCUGGCAUAAAAGAAGGAUUUUGCUUUCAGCUGCCUUUUGCCUUAAAAGUGGUGUCACUGAAGGGCCAGCUGUUAUUGCUGUGAGAGAUCAAGAGCUCCUUCCAACUCCUGUGUCAUCUGCAAAACCACCAAUUACAAUCAAAAGUGGGAUUAUUUCCAUGCACUUAAGUCUGCUUUCUAUUUCUCCUGAGUUGAUGUCUGUUCCCUUCUGAUUGUUUACAGUGCCCUGGGAAAGCUGAAUCCCUGUGGAA